UUAAAAGAAUAUUGGCAGAAAAACAGCCCUAGAGUUCCAGCAGGAGUGAACAGGAACAGGAAAACAAAUGGCAGUAUCCCUGAGACAGCCACUUCUGGUGGUUGCCAGUCACCUGGGGAUUCAGCAAGAGAUUUCCACAGGGAAGGCCCUACAUCAUCUGCUACCCUGAAGGAUCUGGAGAGCCCAUGCCAAGAACUAGCAGUAGUCCUGGAUUCAAGGUCCGUAAAAAUCAGUCAACUGAAGAACACCAUCAAAGCUUUG
rnacentral:sRNA from 1 species